rnacentral:lncRNA from 1 species
ACCAUUAUUCUGAGUGAAGUAACUCAGGAAUGGAAAACCAAGCAUCGUAUGUUCUCACUCAUAAGUGGGAGCUAAUCUAUGAGGACAUAAAGGCUUAAAAAUGUUUCAAUGGACUUUGGGGACUUGGAGGAAAGGGUUGGUGUGGGGGUGGGGCAUAAAAGACUACACAUUGGGUACAGUGUACAUUGCUCGGGUAACGGGUGCACCAAAAUCUCAGAAAUCACCAUUAUGGAACUUAUUCGUGUAACCAAACCCCACCUGUUACCCAAAAACCUAUUGAAACAAAAAAAUUAUAGAUAAAAAACAAAUAUAACAGCAUUUAAGAUGUAUGUAGAAUCAUUGAAAUUGUACAAUUUGUAUUUCACAGUACACGCAUGCAUAUGUAUUUUGUUCUUACUAAAACAGUGGAAAUGCGGCAUGAAACUAAAUCAAUUUUUAAAAAUUUUAUUUCUUGAUAUGUGCAUAUUCCACCAAUACUCUACUUUUGGCCUGCUGAUGAAGAGUAAGGAAGGACUGAAAGGAGGAGAAACUAUGGGUUGCCUUUUCCUUCUGUCAUCUGUUCAGCAUUUCAUAGUAAAACCUUUGUUGAUUUAAUAAACAUAAUGGAUACUCAUUAAAAUAUUCAAACAGCAUAGAAAGGGACAAAGAAGAAAGCAGCCAGCAAUCCAAGUACCACUAUCCAGAAAUAGCCAGUGAUAUCUCUUUAUGUGUGGAAAUACAAUGAAAAUUGAGUGAGAGACAUACACAGAGGAAGAAGAAAAAGAAAGCAAUCAAACUCCAAAUGGUGCUGCAAACUGAACCCCACAUGGACACGCCAUUCUUCUGAGGACCCUUAGAUCCACCCCAGGAGGAGCCCUAGCUGCUGUUCCCCAUUCGAUGCCCCUUUUCAGCCGAGGUGAUAACUGGAAGAGAGCAGAAAGGGAGCAUCUGGGAUACUGCUCUAAGAGCAGGACUGCCAUAUGAGGAUGCAGAGACUGUGCCUUGUGAAACUCCAGGGGCACCAUUCAUACAAGCCAACUGGACUCCAAGUGCCACGAGAACAGAGAUUGGGUCUGGUCCCCAGCUUCAGUGCCUCCAAGGCAGAAACUCAAGAGACGUUGUUGAACUGUCAGCCUUUACAUUUAUGCAUUACUAUUGAAGGCCUGGAAUAAAUGGAUCGUGUUUUACCUGUUA